GCCUUCGGGAUGUAAUUGGAAGCAUACUCGGCUCGUAUUCGAGAGGACCAGAGUUCGAGUCCUGGCGAGGGCA
rnacentral:tRNA from 1 species